UGAGUGGCGAACGGGUGAGUAACACGUGGGUAAUCUGCCCUGCACUCUGGGAUAAGCCUUGGAAACGGGGUCUAAUACCGGAUAUGACAGAUGAAGGCAUCUUUGUUUGUGGAAAGUUCUGGCGGUCCAGGAUNAGCCNNCGGCCUAUCNGCUNGUUNGUGGGGUGAUGGCCUACCAAGGCGACGACGGGUAGCCGGCCUGAGAGGGUNACCGGCCACACUGGGACUGAGACACGGCCUNGACUCCUACGGGAGGCAGCAGUGGGGAAUCUUGCGCAAUGGGCGAAAGCCUNACGCAGCAACGCCGCGUGGGGGAUGACGGCUUCGGGUUGUNAACCUNUUUCGACAUCGACGAAGCCAUCUUUGGUGGUGACGGUAGGUGUAGAAGAAGCACCGGCUAACUACGUGCCAGCAGCCGCGGUAAUACGUAGGGUGCGAGCGUUGUCCGGAUUUAUUGGGCGUAAAGAGCUCGUAGGCGGUUUGUCGCGUCUAUCGUGAAAACCGGGAGCUNAACUCCUNGCUUGCGGUGGAUACGGGCAGACUUGAGUUCGGCAGGGGAGACUGGAAUUCCUGGUGUAGCGGUGAAAUGCGCAGAUAUCAGGAGGAACNCCGGUGGCGAAGGCGGGUCUCUUGGCCGAUACUGACGCUGAGGAGCGAAAGCGUGGGNAGCGAACAGGAUUAGAUACCCUNGUAGUCCACGCCGUAAACGUUGGGCGCUAGGUGUGGGGAUGGGUUCCACUGUUUCCGUGCCUUAGCUNACGCAUUAAGCGCCUCGCCUNGGGAGUACGGCCGCAAGGCUAAAACUCAAAGGAAUUGACGGGGNCCNGCACAAGCGGCGGAGCAUGUGGAUUAAUUCGAUGNAACGCGAAGAACCUUACCUGGGUUUGACAUGCACUAGACAGCCCCUGAGAGGGGGNGNCCCUNGUNGUUGGUGUACAGGUNGUGCAUNGCUGUCGUCAGCUCGUGUCGUGAGAUGUUGGGUNAAGUGGGGGACUGCCGGGGUNAACUCGGAGGAAGGUGGGGAUGACGUCAAGUCAUCAUGCCCCUUAUGCCUAGGGCUUCACACAUGCUACAAUGGCCGGUACAGAGGGCUGCGAGAUCGUGAGGUUGAGCGAAUCCCUNAAAGCCGGNNUNAGUUCGGAUCGGGGUCUGCACCUNGCCCCCGUGAAGUCGGAGUCGCUAGUAAUCGCAGAUCAGCAUUGCUGCGGUGUCAUGAAAGACGGUAACACCCGAACCCAUGGCCCAACCCUUGUGGGGGGAGUNGUCGAAGGUGGGACUNGCGAUC
rnacentral:rRNA from 1 species